rnacentral:lncRNA from 1 species
UUUUUUUGUCUUUUUAGGGCCACACCUGUGGCAUAUGGAAGUUUCCAGGCUAGGGGUUGAAUCAGAGCUGUAGCCGCUGUGACAGGCCACAGCCACAGCAAUGUGGGAUCUGGGCCAUGUCUGUGAGCCACGUCUGUGACCUACACUACAGCUCACAGCAAUGCCGGAUCCUUAACCCACUGAGCCAGGCCAGGGAUCAAACUCAGGUCCUCAUGGAUACUAGUCAGAUUUGUUUCUGCUGAGCAGGAACAGGAACUCGUUUUUUUUGUUUGUUUGUUUUGCUUUUUGUUUUUUUUUUUUUUAAGGCCAAUUGGUACUUAACAGAGUACCUGGCACACAAGAAGGCCUCUCCCAAAAAAGUAAGCUACUAUUAUUUCUAUCAUCUUUAUUAGAUCUUCCUUUCCCAUGCUUCCUGUUCAGCCUCUUCUGUCUUGGUUGCCGUAGGCCUCGGGGUUUCCAAAGUGAUCUCUAAGUUGCUGAGCGAGGGCGAGCACAGCAGGAGAGGACAGUCUGGGUGCCCCCAACUCCCAUCUCUGUUUAUAAUUUAUAGAUUAGGCUUUGGUCCCCGCCCCAUGUCCGCUAGCAAUGGAAGAGGCGCUCAGCAGACAAAAAGACUUGGAAAGCCAAUGCCCCAGGCCAGGUGUCUAGUCUUGGGCAUCAUUCUUCUCAAGUACCAAAGAGUCAUAUGGCAAAAGUGAUUUAUGCAGGCGAGCUGAAAAAUCAAUCUACGUUACAGAAGAAGAGCUAUUCAAUGAAUCACUAUUAACGUCCGCCCCCUCCCAUGUGUUUCUAGGUUGUGCACAGAGGGGAGCACUGGGGUGUUAACACUGCUGACUUGGGGGAUUCGGCUCCUGUAGGACAUGUUUGGGGCCAUCCAGGGAGAGGGCCCAGUGCUCACGGUCCUCGAGAAAGCUCUGUGCCCCUGCGGGGUGUACCCCUGAGGGGUCAGGGCGGCGCUGGGCUUCAGAAUCAAGCUCCAUAAAACAAAUGGCUGCAAAUGGCCUUUUCCCCCCUCUUACACUGCAGUAAUUCAUAAGGCCCUCCAAGGGAAGUUUUAUGGCUUUAUAUUAAUGUUCAUUUAGGAAAGAAGUGAAAAGGGCAUCGUCAAGAUUUUAAAAAAUCAUUAAGAAGGGUCCUCACUUGGGUUAAGAGUGAUACCUUAGCACAAAAAAAAAAAAAAAAAGCUCUGAUAUACCAUAAAAAUUGUUCUAGGAUAGUAUUUUUUCAUCAUUUUUAUAUGACCUCCUUUCUGUCUGCACUUAAACUGCUGAGAUAAAAAAGUAGACUGGGUAAUUAAAUUUUCUCUUCAUUUUCAUCUUAAUUCAAUAAAUAUUAAUCAAGUAUUUAUCAUAUGCCGAGUACUGUGUUAAGGGUCUGGUGACAUAAUAUCUAAUCUCUACUUUAGAGGAGCUCAGGGUUUGUAGCUUCAUUUUUUUAAAAAAAAACCCUAAAAUUUAUAAUUAUUUGUGUACAUAUGUAAUCAUUUAGGAUGAUCUUAUCCGUUCUGACUUUAAUUUGAUUUGAAGAGCUUUGCAGCUGUUUCGAUAUUAAAAAAAAAAAUUAAAAAAAAAAACAGAGCAAAAGGAAAAAACAAGUAAGGACCACCACCAACAGGUGUGGCAACCACCUCUGUGCAGGAGGAUGACACCAAGGACUCGUGAGCAAUUUAUUUAUUUAUUGGUCUUUUUAGCGCCGUACCUGCAGCGUACAGAGGUUCUCAUGCUAGGGAUUGAAUCGGAGCCGAAGCUGCUGGUCUACACCACAGCCACAGCAACUUGGGAUCCGAGCCACGUCUGCGACCUACACCACAGCUACUGGCAACGCUGGAUCCUUACCCCACUGGGCGAGGCCAGGGAUCGAACCGGCAUCCUCAUAGAUCCUAGCCGGGUUCCUUAACCGCUGAGCCAUGAAGGGAACUCCUUGUGAGCGAUUUAGAAGAAGGUAUGGUCUUAAAGAGGAACGAAGGGCGGAUGACAUGGUGGCGUCACCACGGCUGCACGUACAGGGAAGGAAGGGGGUGUAGGGUUGGGUGACUGAGGAAAUCUGAAGGGAGAGGGAUGGGGGGGGUGAACCUCUAGGUGGUGGUUUUCUGAGAAGGUUCCUGAGGGUGGGCCCGGGAGGUGCCAGCCAUUCAUUGCGGCUGGUGAAUUCUCGCCCCCAGAGCAUCUGAUGCCACCCUCGGAAGAAAGCACAUCUGCAGAGAAAGCGUGUGCACGGGAGGCGUCCCUGCCCAGGGAGCGCCUCGGCGAGUGGGAUGUCGGAAUGCAGACUGUCUCCGAAGGAUGCCCGGAAAUUUAGCAGCAGUUACUUCGGGGUGGUGGGCUUGUGAGUGAUCUUUAUUUUCUUCUCUGUACUUAUCUUUAUUUUUGAUAUUGAAAAUGUCUUACGUUUAUAAUAGAAAAGCAAUGCGUGCUAUUUUUCAAGAAGGUAACGACCAGAACAACAGAACAUAAAAAGGGAGAGAGGAAAUACGAUUGGGUCCACAGGGCAAUCCGAGUCAUCAUCGCAUCCUUCCAAAUAAAGGCUGCCCCUUCUCGCGCUCUCAUCUCUGUUGUGUGGAUGGUCACAGCAGUUCUCCCUGCAGGACUGGUGGGGACAUGCUUGCUCUCUUACCAAAGGUCUGGACCAGGUCUCAGGGAUCCUCGAGCUGGGGCACAGCAGCUGUCAGGCAUUCAGGUCAUCACUGCCCACGGGUCAAAUGUGGAGGCAGGAGAAAUGAUAAAGUUGUUCCCCACGACAACCCCAGAUCUCUGGCGGUUGGGAGAGAUGUAUGCUUACUCUUUUGCCGUUUUGUUGUUUCUGAGCCUGGGACGUGUGGAAUGCCAGGAGGUACCAAUCGUGGGUUCCUUUUCAGCAUGUCAUCUGACCAUCACAAAACUCUUCCAAAAACAAACCUGACUAGGAUCCAUGAGGAUGCGGGUUCCAUCCCUGGCCUCGCUCAGUGACUUAAGGAUCUGGCGUGGCCAUGAGCUGUGGUGUAGGUUGCAGAUGCGGCUCUGAUCCUGCAUGGCUGUGGUUGUGGCUAUGGUGUAGUCCCGCAGCUACAGCUCUGAUUCAACCCUUAGCCUGGGAACCUCCAUAUGCCACCAGUGCGGCCCUAAAAAAAUUAAAAAUAAAAAUAAACAUCAAUGAGACGACGUCACUUUGGAACGUAUCUACACAAUGGCUGUGCCACGCGGCUCACUGAUCCCGCUGUUGGUGAUGGAAAAAUACAGCUGGAAAAGGAAGAGGGGACACAAGCUGACUCACUGAAGAACGUUUGCACUCUGCGCAUGAGGCCAGGAGCCGGUCUGUAACUGUCCAAAGGUGCUAGGAGGUCAAAAUAAAUGCUGGACGUGGCAAUUUCCUUCCACGGGUCAGGGCAGCUAGAUUUUACCCAGAGACCAUAUCCUCUUGGACUUAAAGGAAAACGCAGGAAGGACUCGCAUCCUCCUUGGAAGAAAGGAGAGGCGAUUUCGACGGGCUUAAUUUGCUCCCUUCUGGGGAAGCAUUCCAGGGCCUCUGGCUCUGAAUGUAAAUUCAAGUUCUAAGGCUCAGGAAUGGAUAUAAUAAUAGACUUAUGCCCCAUACUUCCUGGUCUACUGUCAGCGUCUCCACAACUGGAGACUUUGGGGAAGAUGAAUAAUUAGGUAUUAAGAGUCAGAAAUGAUAAGUGUCUCGUUGUUUAAAGAACCACCUUCGGUUGUUGCAAAUGCUUCUUUUCAGAGUGCUCCGUUUUAUCUUUAAUUUAAAUUUCAGCAGAAGGCUUCCUUUGGAGGCUUGGAAGUUAUUUUCCACAUACUGGAGGUGAUGGAGAUGACAGAGGUAACAUUUACCAGGGAAAACAAGGAAAAUAAUAAUAUACUCACAAAGACCACAGUUACUGAGUACGGUCAGGCACACGCGUUUACACCCACCAUAAUUUUUGUUUGUUCUUUGCCCUUUUAGGGCUGCACCCACAGCAUGUGGAGGUUCCCAGGCUCGGCAUCUAAUCGGAGCUAUUGCUGCCAGUCUACACCAGAGCCACAGCCAUGCCAGAUCCGAGCCGUGACUGCGACCUACACCACAGCUCACAUGGCAACACUGGGUCCUUAACCCACUGAAGAGGCCAGGGAUGGAACCCGCAACCUCAUGGUUCCUAGUUGGAUUCAUUUCUGCUGCGCCACGAUGGGAACUCCUAUACCCACUGUGAUUAACCACCACCAUAACUUUCUGAGAUUACCAUGCUUGUUUUACCAAUGAGAAAACGGGCUCUGAGAGGUUAACUAAGAAAGCUACAGAGCCUUUAAUGGGUAGAGUCAGAAUCCAAACCCAAGUCUGUUCCUACAGAGAUGGUAAAUGACAACACAGGUGGAUACACUGUAUUCUGAGCACCUGGGCAGGUCGUUUACUCUGGCCUUCUGACCCAUGAGGAUAAAUCCCUAAGCCAGAUGGCAGUCUCAUCUCCACUUUAACACUUCUGGGGACAGUCCACUCACCACAUGUCUUAGAAAAACUUUAUGUGUACUUUUAUGCCAUUAGAACAGACGAGCAGCAUGUGAAAACUAAUUUACGUGGGUGUCUGAGGACGAAUGGUCUUUGGACAAUUCCUUUCUGAUGCAAACACCAAAAUGUCACCACUGCCCAAAAGACUCUUUGUCUGGGACCAUGCUGAAUGACAGCAAGCAAAGCUCACCUCCUUAAUGUAUUGAUAGGGUUGGCUUCCAGCAGGCACAGGGGCAGUGAGAGUGAAGCCAGGGGAGGUAGAGUCACUGAGACAUGGGUUGGUGCUCACGCUGGCACACAGGCUGUCUGAACCCCAGCCCUCAUUAUCCUCCCUGCCCAACCUUGGAUAAAUCAUGAAUGCCCCCUCCCUAGACAAGGGAACUAGACCAAGAUGCCCAGGGCCAUCUACCUUACACAGGUGUCACGGGGACGGGCAAAAACACCUGCAAACUCUCCUGGUCACAAUCACAGGCACUGAUCCUUUUUUGGACACAGAUCCUACCUGGAACUGGAUCAUUAUUUGACUUUGCAUGUAGUUUUGUCACAGCCUCUUUGUCCCCUCUUAGACUAUUCAUUCCUCGAGGAUAGGCAGCCUCGUUUACACUCCUGGUGCCCCUUCAAGGACCGACCCAGCACAGCGACUGACCAUCCAGUAGCCUGUUGCUGUUCAAGUGGCCUUGGUAGAGUUGUCACUGAAUAGCACUGCAUGUGAGGUGCUGGGGGGAGAAGUAACAGUUUUAAACGAUUAAACGCUGUGCAGGAAAUAAGCAGAUGUGGUCCCAGCCAUCUAGGUGCCUACAUGGAUCUUGGAACACGAGGGUGGACAGCACUAGCUGGAAAUAAAGCCAGGGCACACCAUGAAGGAAAAAGAGGCCUCCGGAAACGGUUAUGAUUUAAUGGAGAUGGGGGGGGGGCGCGUGCCGGCGGGGAGCGCGGAGGGGCUCCAUCUGAGAGCAAGACUUGAGCAGGAAGGAGAGCAGGCUGGAUUCGGUCCCGCUCGAGAAUGUGCAUUAAAGCGGUUCCUCUCCUCCCCCACGGGCAAGUGUGCACAUUAGGGACAGGUGAGGUUUGUCUGCCUCAAAGGCGAGCUGGUAACUUGCUCUCCGGCCGCGGAGCCGCAGACGGCGUGGGCCGGAGGCUGCCGCACGCGGGAUGCGCACCUGUCCAACAGGCGGGGCCUCUGGGCGGCUUCCAGGGCUUUAGGCCUGCCGCUCACAUCUUCGAAAUGCGAACAGCAGACGGGGACCCAAGCAGAUGGAGACGGCACGCCCCCUGAGGUAACCUGGCUCCAGAAGGUUACGGGCUCCGUUUCAGGGGCGAUGGAGACAGGCCCCCCGGAUCACCCCAAAGGCGCUGGAGCCAAACCGAGACGGAGGGGAAGGAAAGCGGCCCGGGUCCCGACCAAGAGCUUCCGCCAGAAAGCGCAUCAGGAUCUGUUUCCUGGUUCCCCGCAGUGGGUCCUAACUAAACGGGCAUGAGUUGGGACAUCUCUGGGGACGGCCUUGCUGGGGAGGGAAUACAACAGAAGGCAAUAAAAUCAUGACGGUGCACGAGGGCUUAAACGCGACCGUCCC